GUGACAACGACGACAAACAACAGGCAAACAGCACAAUGGUAAAAAUACAGUGAGAAGUCAACAGGAUGGGACCACGGGUGAGAAGAGGAGAAUGACAGAGAGGGGAAAAAAGAAGAGGGAGAGAGAGAGAGAGAAGUGAGCGUGCUCUUUAUCUUCUGAGGACGUCACAGGAAACAAGGACCGUGGUCACAGUGAGUCAUGUUGUAGAAAUAAGGAAACAGGACGGAACAUUCAGUCAGAUCUAACUUUUUUUUUUUACAGGUGUUGAAGAUUGUUCAUGACGAUAAACCAACAUUCUGACCAAAUGACCCAUCCUGAUAAAUUCAUAAAUGCUGAGCAGAAGUUUACUGAUCACAAUCCAGGUGAAAAAGCUCACACACACCAGUCAAUGUCUGUCAAAAUAUAUGUCCAGUAAUGUAUUUGUCAAUUUAACAUCAACAACGAUUUGAAAACGAUACUAAUUCAGUCUUAAUGUCUUAAUUCUCAGGCAGUCGUGUGAAAGCAGUGCAUCCUGGAUUGAUCAUUGAAACGUCAACACGAUGGUUCAUUUAAUGCACUGCAGAAGACCUUGGUCACCUCUGGAUAUGGACUGAAAUGUUGUCGUUGCAGCCCAGAAACAGAAACUACAGGAACGUAACGUAAGUAAAAUUUAUUUAUUAUUUAUUUAUUAUUCUUGAUAAGAGGAACUAAUGUAAUAUAUCAAAAACUGUUUCAAUAUAUAUAUAUAUAUACAAUAUAUAUCUGCAAUAAACUUCUCUCUGCCUUGGCUUCUUUGUUUGUUCAAUUUAAAUGAUUUGGUGCCAAGGAUUUUUGUUCAAGCCCUGUAGCAACUUUAUAAAACAUUUAUGCAGCUGACAUUUAUAGUUUACAAAGGUAGAGUCAGCAGUUGCACCAAUAAAAACGUUAGUAGACACAAAAUGUUUCAAAAUAAAUAGAAUAAAAAUAUCUUCUUUUUUUUUUAAAGGAACUUCAAAUAAAAGUACUGUUGUGAAAGAACUGGCCGAGUAGUAGAACUAUCCCAGUAGUGUAGUGUAGUACUAGGGCAGAUACAGUAGUUUAGCCUAACCCUCUCUAGGCAACAAUUUGUUAAAGAGUUAUUAUGUUCAAUGUGAAUAGUCAAAAUAUCAAGGUAUCCCUGUAUUUUUUUUAAACUCUAGAUCACAUCAGUGCAUGAAUUUAAAAAAAAAAGAUCCGUGAUGAUUAGAUAGUCAUAGCCAUCUGGUUUCCACACGGCACAGCUUAAUUAUCCUUCAUUAAUCACAAAGAAGAGUUAGAGCAGAAAAGUGUGCGACUAAGAGUGUCUCUGAGUAAAGCAUCAGGGGAAAUGCACCAGUGAGAAGAGCAGAGUUACAAUAAUUGAAUUCACAAACAGAAAUAGAUUGUCUUCUAACAUUCGCUGCUUUGUUAUGUAACCCAGUAUUAGGUUUAAUGCGUUUUUGAUGUCGUUACUGUCUUCUAUUGACUGUAGCAGCUGCUGUAACCUGUGAUUAGUUCAACAAUAAGGCACUGAAUACAGAUUUGUCAUUAGCAAACAGCUGGUUAAUGACAGCAGACAAAUGUGCUCAGCGGUAAACUCAGUUACACACACGGUUUGAACUGAACAGACGAGGGUGAGGAAAACCAAAUCAUUGUUCAUAUGUGUAAUAACUUUAAAAAAAAAA